CGCCGCGCUCAGGCCCCUUCGGGGUAUUGUAGCGGCGAACGGGCUGACCUAACACGUGAGCAACCUGCCCCUGACUCUGGGAUAAGCGGUGGAAACGCCGUCUAAUACCGGAUACGACCCGCCACCUCAUGGUGGAGGGUGGAAAGUUUUUCGGUCAGGGAUGGGCUCGCGGCCUAUCAGCUUGUUGGUGGGGUAACGGCCUACCAAGGCGAUUACGGGUAGCCGGCCUGAGAGGGCGACCGGCCACACUGGGACUGAGACACGGCCCAUACUCCUGCGGGAGGCAGCAGUGGGGAAUAUUGCGCAAUGGGCGAAAGCCUGACGCAGCGACGCCGCGUGGGGGAUGACGGCCUUCGGGUUGUAAACCUCUUUUACCACCAACGCAGGCUCGAAGUUCUCUUCGGGUUGACGGUAGGUGGGGAAUAAGGACCGGCUAACUACGUGCCAGCAGCCGCGGUAAUACGUACGGUCCGAGCGUUGUCCGGAAUUAUUGGGCGUAAAGAGUUCGUAAGCGGCGUGUC
rnacentral:rRNA from 1 species